AAGGUAGCAUAAUCAAUAGUUUUUUAAUUGAAAGCUGGAAUGAAGGAUUGAAUGAGAUAAUAAUUGUCUCAAAUUUAUUAAUAAUAGAAUUUUUUUUUUAGUUAAAAAACUAAAUUGAUUUUUAAAGACGAGAAGACCCUAUAGAUUUUUAUAAUUUAAGAAAAAAAAUUAGUUUAAUAUAAAUUAAUAUUUUUAUUAAAAAUUAUUAGGUUGGGGAAAUUAUUAAAUUAAAUUAAUUUUAAUAUUUAAU
rnacentral:rRNA from 1 species